CCCUCCCCCACACCUCUCCUUCAUCCACUUAGGUUCAGAUGCUACAACAAAAUUCUACAUGCCUAAGUCAUGGUGAAAAGAAAUGGCAAAGACGAUUCAUGUGUAUGCCAUCGUCACAGGCUACACGGACCCGUAACGGGUGGUAUGAGACAAGGGAAGAAAAAAUUCCCGACGCCCGUCGUGGACGGAGCUGGACACGCGCCAUGGAAAACAGGGCAAAAGCAUAUACGAUUCCACGAUCCGUACACGGACCCAGACACGUACCCAGAACAGGCGGUACGGGGACACGGGAAAAAAAGUUCCCGACGCCCGUCGUGGACGGAGCUGGACACGCGCCAUGGAAAACAGGGCAAAAGCACAGACGAUUCCAUGAUUCGUACACGGACCCAGACACGUACCCAAAACGGGCGGUACGGGGACACAGGAAAAAAAAAGUUCCCGACGCCCGUCGUGGACGGAGCUCCACGCGUGCCAUGGAAAACAGGGCAAAAGCACAGACGAUUCCACGAUCCGUACACGGACCCAGACACGUACCCAGAACGGGCGGUACGGGGACACGGGAAAAAAAGUUCCCGACGCCCGUCGUGGACGGAGCUGGACACGCGCCAUGGAAAACAUGGCAAAAGCAUAUACGAUUCCACGAUCCGUACACGGACCCAGACACGUUCCCAGGACGGGCGGUACGUGGACACGGGAAAAAAAGUUCCCGACCCCCGUCGUGGACGGAGCUGCACGCGUGCCAUGGAAAACAGGGCAAAAGCACAGACGAUUCCACGAUCCGUACACGUACCUGUACACGUACCCAGAACGGGCGGUACGUGGACACGGGAAAAAAAGUUCCCGACGCCCGUCGUGGACGGAGCUGCACGCGUGCCAUGGAAAACAGGGCAAAAGCACAGACGAUUCCACGAUCCGUACAUGGACGCGUACACGUACCCAGAACGGGCCGUACGUGGACACGGGAAAAAAAGUUCCCGACGCCCGUCGUGGACGGAGCUGCACGCGUGCCAUGGAAAACAGGGCAAAAGCACAGACGAUUCCACGAUCCGUACAUGGACGCGUACACGUACCCAGAACGGGCCGUACGUAGACACGGGAAAAAAAGUUCCCGACGCCCGUCGUGGACGAAGCUGCACGCGUGCCAUGGAAAACAGGGCAAAAGCACAGACGAUUCCACGAUCCGUACACGGACCAGUACACGUAUGCAGAACGGGCCGUACGGGGACACGGGAAAAAAAGUUCCCGACGCCCGUCGUGGACGGAGCUGCACGCGUGCCAUGGAAAACAGGGCAAAAGCAAAGACGAUUCCACGAUCCGUACACGGACCAGUACACGUACCCAGAACGGGCCGUACGGGGACACGGGAAAAAAGUUCCCGACGCCCGUCGUGGACGGAUCUGUACGCGUGCCAUGGAAAACAGGGCAAAAGCACAGACGAUUCCAUGAUCCGUACACGGACGCGUGCACGUACCAACAACGUGGACAAGGUGUUCGGGAAAAACGGCCCAUAAUCCAGAGAAACUGCGCCUAGACUAGCUCCCAAAGGGCAAAAACGCUGCCAUGGCAGCCAGAACAUAUGUCAUGGCAAAAAAACCCUGCCACGGCAACGUUUCAAAACAGUGUACCCCUCCUUCACAAACUGAAGGGCACGGUUCCCAUGGGGGGCUAAAACCCUCAGGUACUAUGGGGGAGGAGGGGUCCUCCCGGUUGGGCGUAUGGAACUCGGUUGGUUUUUCGUAUGAAAAACACCCGUUUUCGCGUAGCCCAACUCCUUCCCAACGUUGCCUCGGAUGUCCCGUCGUUAUGCCAUCACGAAGGUGUUGGCUCGGUCCCGUGUACGUCUCGUGAGAAAUCCUGACCCAACAGCCAAACGUGGCUCGGGAAACAGGAAAUUACCCCGUUUCGCACAUGGUCCGACCGACGGUAAACAGUCGCAACACUGUCCCUUGAAUGCCGCCUAAGGAAACCGUUGCUCCCCGGGGGCAACGUCAUCGCUGGCCCGGUCCAUUGCACGUCUCACGUGAAAUUCUGACCCAACAGCCGAAUGCGGCUCGGGAAACAGGAAAGUAGCCUGCUAUGUGCACGAUAAGACCGCUGGACAACGUUGCACCGACGUCCCGCCUUCGGAAAAUCGUUGCACCCAUAACUUUGUUGUUGUGGGAGUGACCCACGCGUGAUUUGGCCUUGCAGGACGCCUUCGUGCAAGUGAUCCUCCCGUGCUUUGCACGGGAGGAGGCUUGGUUGGUUUGACCGCUUGUUGGCUACUAAGCGCAUGAGCAGCUUUGGACCCGUGUCUGCCGGUAGAUCCCCCGUUGUACUGCGGCCGACUACCGGCGCCGUGUCCCGUCAAUUGUGUGACUUUUAAUCGCUGGAUUAAGAGUGCUUGCGUGCUAGUACCCGACCUACGGGAAGUGGUGCUUCGUACAAAAUUUACCUCGCGGCGGACGCCCUUUGGGUGUGCUGCUGUGGCCGAAUAGCUCUUGCGGCGUUGCCUCAUCGUGCCGGCAUGUUAUGUGCCGGUGCUAUCAAGGCAAUCUCGCUCCUGCUAUUGGUCUUGGAUGUUGCUCAUGAUAAAGGGUCGUGGCCCUUCCGGUUGCCUCGACCCGACCCAAAGCUCUCUGAAUUGGGAACAACCGGAACAGGAGUUGCCUCUACCUCUCCACAGUUACGUGGUAGGAUACGCGACUCUCUGCGCCGAUCCUCAAGGACGAUGAGCUAUGCCGCUCAACAGCGACAACCGGCCCGACUAUUGCCUGUGAGUUUCGACGCAAGUGGAAGCGCAGGGCGAUGGCCGACGCUGGGCGUCACCG
rnacentral:misc_RNA from 1 species